GGAAAGUCCCUGUGUGUCAACCUCUGUGCUUCGUGGCAAGGUAGACUAGCAAACAUGCCCAACCUUUACUCACAUUCGAGAAAACACUCCCAAUAAGAUUGCUUGCUCCAAAAUCGACGAGGCACCGUCCUCCGAAUCUCGAGAGCCAGACUCCCAACAUGACUACUUUCUUAAAAAUCGAAGAGAUGGUAAAGGAACAGUACCAUUGCUGGAUAAUUGGAAAGUCCCUGUGUGUCAACCUCUGUGCUUCGUGGCAAGGUAGACUAGCAAACAUGCCCAACCUUUACUCACAUUCGAGAAAACACUCCCAACAAGAUUGCUUGCUCCAAAAUCGAAGAGGCACCGCCCUCCGAAUCUCGAGAGCCAGACUCCCAACAUGAUUACUUUCUCAAAAAUCGAAGAGACACUGCUCCCCGAAUCUUCGAGAGCCAGACCCCCAGCAUGAUUGCUUUCUAAAAAAUCGAUGAGGCAUCGUUCUCCGAAUCAAUCGAAGAGGCGCUCGCUUUCUCAAAAGCUGGGCUGCUCAGAGACCACGAGGGCCGAUCUCAGAAAUCGAAGAGGCACCUACUUUUCUAGCCUUGUCAGCACCUGUCACACGCACACUCAGCUUUGCAGAAAUUAUGGGCAUUCUGUCGAAGACUUCUGGUGAAGUAGAAAGCACAUGAAUCUUACUGUUCAAUCACCCACUUCCCACACGCAACAAUAGCUCAUAGGUACCACAGAUAACUUUGCCAAAGUUCUCUGCCAAAGUUGAGCACGUGAAGCUUGCAGCUCCCACUACAUCGCUCUGACCAAGAAAGGUAAAAGAAUAGCAAAGAAACAGCACUAACAAAGUUUAGACACAUAAAUUUUGAAGGUCUAGCUACCAUAUUAUUACCCACAAGGGUAAAGGAACAGCACCACUGCUGGAUAAUUGGAAAGUCCCUGUGUGUCAACCUCCGUGCUUCGUGGCAAGGUAGACUAGCAAACAUGCCCAACCUUUACUCACAUUCGAGAAAACACUCCCAACAAGAUUGCUUGCUCCAAAAUCGAAGAGGCACCGUUCUCCGAAUCUCGAGAGCCAGACUCCCAACAUGACUACUUUCUCAAAAGCGAAGAGAGGGUAAAGGAACAGUACCAUUGCUGGAUAAUUGGAAAGUCCCUGUGUGUCAACCUUUGUGCUUCGUGGCAAGGUAGACUAGCAAACAUGCCCAACCUUUACUCACAUUCGAGACAACACUCCCAACAGGAUUGCUUGCUCCAAAAUCGAAGAGGCACCGCCCUCCGAAUCUCGAGAGCCAGACUCCCAACAUGAUUACUUCCUCAAAAAUUGAAGAGACACUGCUCUCCGAAUCUCGAGAGCCAGACCCCCAGCAUGAUUGCUUUCUCAAAAAUCGAAGA
rnacentral:lncRNA from 1 species